UAAGGAAUAUUGCGCAAUGGGCGAAAGCCUGACGCAGCGACGCCGCGUGGGGGAUGAAGGUCUUCGGAUUGUAAACCCCUUUCGGGAGGGAAGAUGGAGCGAGCAAUCGUUCGGACGGUACCUCCAGAAGCAGCCACGGCCAACUUCGUGCCAGCAGCCGCGGUAAUACGAAGGUGGCAAGCGUUGUUCGGAUUCACUGGGCGUACAGGGUGUGUAGGCGGUUUGGUAAGCCUUCUGUUAAAGCUUCGGGCCCAACCCGGAAAGCGCAGAGGGUACUGCCAGGCUAGAGGGUGGGAGAGGAGCGCGGAAUUCCCGGUGUAGCGGUGAAAUGCGUAGAUAUCGGGAGGAAGGCCGGUGGCGAAGGCGGCGCCCUGGAACAUACCUGACGCUGAGACACGAAAGCGUGGGGAGCAAACA
rnacentral:rRNA from 1 species